rnacentral:rRNA from 1 species
UAGGCGUAAAUGAUGCGAGUUAAGUGUGGGGCAUCUACGAGAUGGCCCUGUGCUGUAGGGUAGCCGUUAAACUCGCUGCCUGGGAGUACGGUCGCAAGGCUGAAACUUAAAGGAAUUGGCGGGGAGCACCACAAGAGGUGGAGGCUGCGGUUCAAUUGGACUCAACGCCGGAAAACUCAUCGGGAGCGACAGCAGUAUGAUGGCCAGGUUGAUGACCUUGCUUGACAAGCUGAGAGGUGGUGCAUGGCGUAGUCGUGU